CCGAUUAAGCCAUGCAAGUCAGGUAGUAAUACCGGCGACAGGCUCAGUAACACGUCGAUAAUCUGCCCUAAGGUCUGGAAUAACUUCGGGAAACUGAAGGUAAUACCGGAUAUGGAAUUGAGACUGGAAUGUUCUUUUCUUGAAAGAUUACGCCUUAGGAUGAGUCGGCGGCUGAUUAGGUUGUUGGCGGGGUAAUGGCCCACCAAGCCUACGAUCAGUACGGGUCUUGGGAGAGAUAACCCGGAGAGGGGCACUGAAAUACUGGCCCCAGCCCUACGGGGUGCAGCAGGCGCGAAACCUUUACAAUGCACGAAAGUGUGAUAAGGGGACUCUGAGUGCUCAUGUAUCACAUGGGCUUUUGCCAAUUGUAAAAAGCUUGGCGAAUAAGUGGUGGGAAAGACUGGUGCCAGCCGCCGCGGUAACACCAGCGCCACAAGUGGGAGCCAUUUUUAUUGGGCCUAAAGCGUCCGUAGCAGGUUUAUUAAGUCCUUUGUGAAAUCGUUAUGCUUAACGUAACGGCGUGCAGAGGAUACUGAUUUACUAGGGACCGGGAGGAGUUAGGGGUAUUCGAUGGGGAGCGGUAAAAUGUUAUAAUCCAUCGAGGACCACCUGUGGCGAAGGCGCCUAACUAGAACGGAUCCGACUGUGAGGGACGAAAGCCAGGGGAGCAAUCCGGAUUAGAUACCCGAGUAGUCCUGGCCGUAAACGCUGCGAGCUAGGUGUUGUGCAUUCCUUGAGAAUGUGCAGUAUCGAAGCGAAGGCGAUAAGCUCGCCGCCUGGGAAGUAUAGUCGCAAGGCCGAAACUUAAAGGAAUUGGCGGGGGAGCACUACAAGGGGUGAGGCGUGCGGUUUAAUCUAACUCUACGCAGAGAACCUCACCAGAGGCGACGGCAGAAUGAAGGUCAGUCUGAAGGGCUUACCUGACAAGCCGAGAGGUGGUGCAUGGCCGCCGUCAGCUCGUGCCGUGAGGUGUCCAGCUAAGCCUGGUAACGAGCGAGACCUGCAUCCAUAAUUGCUAACGAGUCCUCCGGGACGAUUGAGCACAUUAUGGGUACUGCUCUGGUAACAGAGAGGAAGGUGCAGGCAACGGUAGGUCUGUAUGCCCCGAAUCCUCUGGGCAACACGCGCGCAACAAUGGUAGGGACAAUGGGAUACAACCCCGAAAGGGGAAGUUAAACCUCUAAACCCUAUCUUAGUACAGAUUGAGGCUUGCAACUCAGCCUCAUGACGCCGGAAUCCCUAGUAAUCGGAUUUUAUCAUAGUCCGGUGAAUACGUCCCUGCUCCUUGCACACACCGCCCGUCAAACCACUCGAGCAGGGUCUGGGUGAGUGCUAGUCAUUUUGAUUAGUUCGAAUCUAGGCUCAGUGAGAUGGGUUAAGUCGUCACAAGGUA
rnacentral:rRNA from 1 species